rnacentral:misc_RNA from 1 species
UCUCCGUUGGUGAACCAGCGGAGGGAUCAUUACCGAGUUUACAACUCCCAAACCCAAUGUGAACCAUACCAAACUGUUGCCUCGGCGGGGUCACGCCCCGGGCGCGUCGCAGCCCCGGAACCAGGCGCCCGCCGGAGGGACCAACCAAACUCUUUCUGUAGUCCCCUCGCGGACGUUAUUUUUACAGCUCUGAGCAAAAAUUCAAAAUGAAUCAAAACUUUCAACAACGGAUCUCUUGGUUCUG